UAGUGUUACCGUAUUUUAUUAUAGGCAUUUUUCACAUAAAUCGAAUUACCCGGCUGUAAAUACAACAACGCCAAUAACUGUGUAUCUAUACAAACCGUAUAAACGGAACCAAUUUUCGAAAUUCAAUUUGUACGUCGUAUCGUAUAAUGUAAAUACAACGCUCCCUCGUAGACUCCCUAGACCUAUUAUGACGAUAGCGCAUGAUCAAAAGCCAGUUCGU